rnacentral:tRNA from 1 species
GAGACGCUAGUCCAAUUAAGACAACC